GAAAGGUAUUUCUCAGAGAUGGGCCCAAAGCUGCUUCUGUUUCCUUGUGGCCUCAGGCUGGCUCUAGCUAGUAGGACACCAUGACCCAGAGUAACUAAAGGGAAUUAUUGGCAUCCUCCCACGAGCUCCUACCAGGCCAGUGCCAGAAACACUCAUCUACUCCCUUAUGGAAGAUCACUGAGUCAUGAGAUCUGUGGUUUGUCUGAUUCUCCACUUCCCGAAGCCAGCCAAGGCUAACCGACCUGGGAUUCUGAGAGACUGUCCAGUGUUCUGGGAGGAGGCGGCUGACCAGCUGACUGCAGUGAUGAAGAAAGGAGUGUCCCACAGGACUCUGAUUCAGCAGGGACCUCCAGAGCUUCUGACUCAUGGGGGUGUGCUCCCAAGGGACAUAGGUGUGUCUUCAAGUGCCAAGAAUGAAUGGGAACUGGCUUCUGCACUUGGCCCUGUGAGAACAGCCUAAGCCAAGGGAGGGGAGAUUCUAAAAGAAAUGACUGUAAUUAAAGGUAGAAAAAAGUGGAUGAGUCAAAAAAAUGUAUAAAUAGUGUUUAAUAUUCAACUUAGUACUUAAUUAAAUAUUGUCUUCUAUUAUUUAUAUUCACUACAAG
rnacentral:lncRNA from 1 species